UUGGGCACAUGUCCUUUUGUUUUACCACUGACUAACCAAUACACCUCUGUCUCCACACAUAUAGAUUUACCUACAGACAAAAGGUUUAACUACACGAGCAACAUGUGAUCGACCCCCUUCCUCAGACACAAACUCCUCCCUGCACAAACGAAUGCUUUUAUCUGCUGUUGAGAUAUUACGAUAUUGCAGAAUAGAAUUUUUGUUGAUAUAAAAUGGCAUUGAUCCGAUUAGUAUUGUUGGAUAGUUUUAUAAACUCGGCUCGGACACGUUCUCCGUCUGGCUCGAGGUAAAUCAUUAUCAUGCUCCUAUUUUGUCUCCUCCUCGGGAGUCAAGGCCGGGAGGCGUCCAUUUAUACAGCCAACUGCUGUGGAGCAUCGGUCAGCACAGCAAAUAAUCCUCUACAUCAGGGGUCUCAAACUCGCGGCCCGCGGGCCAAUUGUGGCCCUCGGGACGAUAUUUUGUGGCCCCCGCCUUCAUAUGAAAGUGUAAUGUUAGUGCGGCCCGCGAGUUCUAUAUUGUAGCAACCUCGCUGUUAGCAGCCACUUACAACCUCCACCCCAGCGCCGACCGUUCCGUUCGCCGGUCGGACCGUCAGUGUCAUCCCCCCCGUCGGCCAUAAUGGUCUGGCCCGCGUUCGGUCGAGGUGGGCUGCAUCUGGCCCGUACCUGACUUGAGUUUGAGACCCCUGCUCUACAUCAUGUACAUAUUCAAACAUGCCCAUCAAACCACUGCCAUUUAGCAAACAACUGGCUCACCAAAGUCAAGUAUGAAUCUGCAUCAGACUGCUGGUAUUUAUAACCCCCCCCCCCCUCUGAAGGGCCUCAAGUGAGGCUGCUCCCUGAUACCACGUCAAACAGGGUCGGCAUAGCAACUGGUGCUCCAGAAAGGCCACACAUUUAGCAAAGACCUUUUGGAAAUGCCAGCGGCUCGGUCUGUUCUACAGAGCGGGUAAAAGCAGUCUCAUUAUAUCGAUUCAAAACGUUGAUUUCUAUCCGAGUCAAACUGGAAGUAACCAACGUCACGUUUCAACAUCAAAAGCCAAAGUUACGUAUGAAACCCCAAUCCUCCGUAAGAAUGAAAUUGAACUACACAACUAAACAACAAGCAGCUUUGUGUUUGGUGCCCCCCUGUGUCUGCUAUGGUACACUGGCAAAUCUAUGAAAAGGUUAUUAAAAAGCUUCAGCUUGAAUUAUCAUUCCCAUUAUUGCAAUUAUUAUUAAAAAUAAUAACAUAAUAUGAUACUGAGGCAAAGCAACCAGCACAUUGAUUUGUGUCCAUGUUUUAGUGUGAAACGGGACCAAAAAAGGACAAAACGGUACUCAGCAAAGUUAUGAAAAUUAAAAACUUAAAAUCUCUCUUGUGCAAUUAAUAUUGUCACCUUUUGUUGACAUUGGCUUCCAGCUGGGUGAACUCAUCAGACACGCCCUUGACGUUAUCCAGUAAGGUUCGAGUGCUGUUGAAAGCUUUCGAUUGGCUGAGCUCGGUGCCGAGGUUGCAGAAGGACUUGAGCUGACCGGCUUCCUGCUCCAGCUCGGACCGGACCUCCUGCGAAAAGGACCAAAGGUUUGAACGGGCCGACGGUACGAGUAGCCCACUGAUGCCCUGAUCCAGAGGUCUUAGGACCUUGAAAUUGUUCAACUCACGUGAGACUGUACUGCAGAUCAGUGGUUCUCAACUGGUCUGUCUGCUGGUCCCACCAUCACAACUUAAGUCGCAAAUUGAGCGAGAGGGCCAAUCUAAGGUCAUGCUCAAUGUCCCGUGUGUGGUCCAGUGUAAAUCUUUUAGAAAUAGUUAUUUAAUAAAUAAUCAUAAUUAUAAAAUAAUAAUAAACUGAAUUUUAUAUUGUCCUAAAAACCCUGAAACACAAAACCCUGCAUCCACACUGUAAACGAAUCACCCGAACCCCCGACGAAGACCCUCAACCCACUGAAAGCGGGACCCCACCAGUUGAGAACCACCGCUGUAGAGGACACCCCUGCUGACCUCUAUGGUCUGUCUGUAGUCGUCCACGCUGCGGUCCGGCUGGCCCGCCGGGCUCAGAGCCUUGUGGCGGCUCUGGGUGAAGGCCCGGAGGUCGAUCCCCAGCCGCUCGUAGCCCUCCAGCCUGGGCAGCAGCCCUCUGAGCUCAGCUUCCCUCUCGGCCUGGGUAGCCUGUGCCGCGGCGUAGCGCUCGGUCAGAUCAUCCAGAGCGCCCUGGAGGCCCGAGGCCGUGGAGGCGUCAGAGCUCUGGAGGAGUUUGGAAAUGGACUCUCGCGUGGCCUCCACGCUGCCCUGUCGGGACAGCAGCUCCUGGCGAAGUUUCUGGGGAAAGGUGAGGAGACGGGGAAUGAAACCUCCGGUAAAUGUCUUGAUUCCGAGAUGUGACCUGCAGCGUUGCCUCUGGUUCACUCCUACCUGGUUCUGUGUCAGGGCGUCUUGCACGGCCUGUGCGGUGGGUUCGACCGGCGCGGGAUUCAGAACCAGUUUCUCCAGCCAGCUCAGCAGACCCUUCAGGCCCUCCUGGACGCUGACGGACUGAGCCACAGCCGUCUGCAGCUGCUCGGCCCGUUCUGAUACCGACGCAGAGAGGGAGCCGAACCUCUUCUCUAAACCAUCUGAAAAGGAGAACGGAAGAGGGCAAAAUCAAAUGUUACUUCUUCGUCCCUCCUUCAAAUUGAAUCCUAUUCAAAGGCAGUCGUCUGGGGAUAAGACCGAUGGGGGUGGGGGGGUGGGGGGGGGUAUCUCACCUGCAGCACAGAGGAUGUCAACAGCUUUCAGGGAAGGAGACUCGUCUGUGCUGACCAGAUCUCUUCCUGCUCUCUUCACCUUCUCCAGCUGCACCGAGCGCUCAGCCAGCUCAUCCUGCAGCAGCUGAGGACGGGUGACACAUUCCACAGGAAAUGAAAGACCAGCCUUUAACACAGCGUUAAACUUGACGCAUUAUUCUGUAUUCAGUUUUUCCCAUCCUCUCAAAACCUUCCUUCCCUCAGCCUGUGUUUGCGCUGCGAUCGUGUGUGUCUUUACCUGCACUUGUCGUAGUGUGUCCUGCAGGUUCUGGGGGUCUGUCUCCCCGCUGGGCUUGGCUUUGCUUUGGUUCUGUUCCUGAGCGCUCAGCCAAGAGUGGACGGAAACAACCUCAUCCUGGUACUGCUGGUACCGCUCCAACAGGCCGGACAAACGCCCCCCCAACUCUGUGGACUGCACGCACCCACAGUUUCAAUGUGUGUGCAUUCAAGAAGGACAUGCCAGAAGUAAAGAAUCCCUCACCUUGGUGUGUAGGGUUGUGUAUCUGUGGUUGGCGUCCUGCAGCUUGUCAGUUACCAGCAGCUUAGUGCUGUCCAGGGCCGGGUCCGAACUGCCCACUUGCUCCAGAGCUCCUUGUAGGGAGUCCAGAACCUUCUGACCCGAGAUGGAAACAAAGCGCAGGUCCGCCUUGUGGCAAAUCACAUCCUCCGCCAGCUGGAAGUACAGACAUGUUUACAGGUCAGUUGGGGAAAAAAGAAAUGACUGUUGAUGGAAAGUAUUACCGCUACAAAAUGUCUGGGAAAAGAUAUAAAACACAGCACCCAGCUCUUCUAUCACCGCUGUAUGUAAAUGUAUGUUAUGUUAGUAACACGUGUACCUUUCUGUGCUCCUCCAGUCUGCCCUUCAGUCCUUGUGCAUCGGUUUCUCCUUCCGCCAGGGAAAGUAGCUCCUGUUCAUUUUGUUCCAGCCAGGCACCUAAACUUCCAUGUUCUUGGAGGAACUUCAUCAGCUCAUCCUUCAGAGCCUCAGACUUCCUGAGGCGGUCCUAGAGGAAAUAGUCACAAGAGGAGGAGUCAGGCAGCCAUAAGAAAACACCAAGCAUGCACCACUGGUGUCCAAUAGGUUGCAAUGACAUGAAGCUCCAUAUGUCACAGAUCAGCACAUAAAGCAGGUCAGGAGACCUUGCUGCAGACUUAACAUCUGUAUGUAUUUUGAGUACCUGGCAGCUCUGCAGCCGGUCCUGGUGCUGGGCCUGCAGCUGGUCCAGGGCGGCCCGGAGACGCUGCUUCUCUUCAGGAGGCACCGCGGAGUCCGGCUGGUCCAGAAGGGAGCGGGUCGACUGUGCGAUCUGAUGCAGCUGGGCCUGCUGAGACUGGAGCUGCUGAAGCUCCGCCUGGAAUGGAGGGCAGGGACUUUGUAACGUUUUUAGGCAUUUUAAAGUCAGAAAUGUGCUAUGCGCACAAGUGGAGGUCCCAAACCUGAAGCGCCUCUGUGUGUGACAUCAAGGCGCCCUCCGGUUGAGAGAACGGCGCCGCAGUGACAUCUUGGGUCACUCCGGAUCCAACUCCUGUCCCGCCUGGUUGGUUGAUGGAGGACAGGUCCUUCAGCAGAGUGUCUAUCUGGCCCUUGGUCUCCUGGAGGUCCUCUACAGCCUUUGCCUGGAGGGAAGGGGAGAAAAGGGGGGGAGUGAGACCAAAACAAGCUACGCAUAAACAAUAAAAAGUCUCUGAACAGACAGCUGCUCACCCUUUGCGUGUUCUGCUGUACGGUGGUAUUGAUGGCCGUGUCCACCUCGGACAGCGUCGCGGUGGCUGAAUCCUUCAGGGCGCUGUACUGCUCCUUUAGCCUGGUCAACGCACCCUGGAGGCUGUGCCGCUCCUCUGGGCUCAGAUUCUCUCCCCGGUCCGCCAGGAGCUCCUCCACAGAGCGGAUGGUCUCGCUGAUGCCCUCCUCUUUGGUCUGAAGGUCCUUCUGAGCUUCCUGGGUAAUGAGGCAAAAUGUAUUUGUUCAAAAAAGUUAACUGAGAAGGCAGAUACAUGCAGUUGCAACUGUGCAAAGUAAUUUAGCUCUUUAAAUGUUCUACGUUUCCUACCUUUAGUCUUUUUUGCUUCUCCUGCAAGGUGUUCACGUCACAUGACUCCGCUCCAGCUUUCUGACUGGCCAGUAGGCUGGCAGCUCCAGCUAACCACACGGUGAGGCCUUCUAGCUUCUGGGAGCAUUCAGCUUUCUGCUGUUGAACCACCUGAGGGAAGUGAGCGAGUAGAGCAGAGAUCCACAGAGAGAGAACGUGUGAGGAAAACAGUUGCUGACAUUAGUCCAUCACAAGCCCUUAAACAAGCUCUGCUCUAAACCAGCAUUUCCUUUUACGUUUCCCCCUGAAGUGGAUUAUUGUGUAGUGCACACUUAGCCAAGCUUUGAGCAGUUUGUGUCCAGAGUUCACGCUCACACACAUACACACAAAGCAUCUUCAACGACAGCAACGACAACAAACGACACAGAGAAAUCAAACAAAUACACGUUUAUUGGCCGUGUUUCCUCUCUCCUCUCUUCAUUCGAGUGAGACAAGAGGAAAAACUGUUAAGCGCCGUAGCCAGCAAGGCCUUUUCUGCUAUCAGAUCUCUGGCCUUUGUUACCGCCGUAACACAAGCGAUUUCCUUCAGUGGCAAUCUGGAACAGCAAGGCAAACAGGUUAAUAAAACACACGUUAUGGAGACAAGCAGAGGGGCAUUAAAAGCCCUGGUAGGAUCCAGGGUGGUGACACUGUCUACGUCAUAUGGCCAAGCUUUUGCAACACGAGCAGCACUAGAAUGUUGAGACUAGAUUUGAGGUGAUGUAUGAUGGGAGUGCAUGUUAAGUAGAGGUUAGCUUGUUUACAUCAGGCGUUUAUGGUUCCUAGAGUGAAAUGAGUUUGAUAUGUUUUAAUAGAAUGUGAGUACAGUGCUCUUGAGUAAGAAAGCAGGGCAAUAGCUUACAGCAUGACAUAUGAAGCUCUGACAUAUAGUCUAGUCAACCUAACUGAAUAUAAGCGGGAAACCGUGCCGGCUUUCAAGCCAACCCCACCCCGUCUUUUUCCAAACCUCUCUCUCCCUUGCUCUCCGCCCUUCUCUCUCCUUCUCCUCUUCCUUGACUCUCUCCCUGCGCUGCCGCUCCUCCUCCCUCGCCCUCUGGGCGGACAGGGCGUCGGCCCAGGCCUGGGCUUGUCCGGACGCCAGGUGGAAGGCACUCUGGAGCUGCUGGAGCUGCCCCAGGAGCUGGCGGCUCUGCUCGGGGGCCAUGUCCUGGGCUCGCUCCGAGAUGAACACCUGGACGUCGAAGGCCGCGCCGUUGACCUCACCGGAGCGAGCCGUCAGGGCGAACUGGAGCUCCUGAAAGGCCAGAGGAUGGAAAGCGGUAGAUGCGUUAUUCCUCCAUUGCCCUGCGGGUGGCGCAGAGAGAACAGUCUCCGAAGGUGCCACAGCAUCCACGGACAACUCGCCUUGCAGAGAUUCAGCUGCUGUGUGAGCUGAUCACAAUGGUCGUCUUUCUCUGCCUCCUCCAUUUUUUCCAUUCCUCCAUUCAUCUGAGCCUCUGUCUCCCGCAACCAGGAGAGCAGACUCUCCACCUGUCCUCCCAGCGACUUCAGCUCAGCUGUUACUGCCUCCUAAGAGAAACAGCACAACGAUUCGAAUCAAAAGGGGAGGCGGAAAACGAGGAAUUCUUCUGAACCAAAAAACGUAAUUGACAAUCAUGGUUCCAAGCGACCGCUGCAAACAAAUGGUCACAUAGUUUUCCUGCUCCUUCUACCUUAUAGGAGUCCCUAUGGUCUCGUAGACUUUGCAGAAUGCCCUGAGAAAGAGCCGUGGCAGCCUCAUAGCCUCGAGCCAAGCUCCGCCCGUCCUUCUCCACGGCCAAUAGGAGCUGCGGAGGAACGUCUUUGGGGUGGGGCUUCAACAGCUCCUCUGCGGCCUCCACUUCCUCGGUGACCACGGGCUGCAAGUCACGCAGUUCCAGGUCCAGAGUCUGCGAGACAGAUUAGGAAACAAAUGUUUUCUUAAUGCGCUAGUAAGAGACUAAUCCACUAAUCGGCUUUCUUUUGGUCUCAAUCUGGGAACCAAAUACACGACUGAAACUGAGAAGUAAUUCCACGGUCAACACAGGUACAUUCACGUUGGCUGGCGUUACGUAAGUAUAAGAGCAUAUCUCAAUCAGGUAAAUCCACCUAAUCUUCACCUCAGUCUGUCUGAUGAUGUCAUCCAGGGCGAUGAGGCUGCGGCCCACGGACUGCUGAUGCUGCUGUUUGAGUUGGACCUCAACGUGUCUGACCAUAGAGAGCAGGGCCACGAGUCGCUGGUCGCGCUCCAAGCACUCCUGACGCAGCAGGGACGACUUUGGGAAGAACAAAGAUGAUAAAACAUAAUGACACUGGUGAAUAAAUGUAGGCAGAGGAUAUGUCGAUACAUGUUUGACUAAAGAUCGGCCACUUCUUACCUUGCCGGUCGAGGCGGUCCUCUCUUGGUUUGACACAGAUUCUCGACUCUCUCUCACAUCGUCUUCUCCCUCCCCCCAACUCUCGGAGGCUGUAUCAGACUCAGGGACUCCAGGCGAGUCAGACUCGGUUAAAGAGUCUUCCGAGAGCGACGGCGCUGAUUUCGCAGACUCAAGGUGCUGCUGCUGGUCUUUUGAUUGGGAAACACUGGAGCAAUCCGGUUCAGCGAGUCGGGGCCUUUUCUUCUUCCUACCCUUCCCUGCCGUUUUAUCUGCUUGCGUGCCGGUAGGAAUUGAUUGAGCUGUGGGUUGGAUGUCCAGUUUGCAGGCGACAGCCUUAUAAGAAAAGUCAGUCGGUGAUUCUUCUUUCCUGACAGACGUACCGGCUGCCAGUUGGACGUGUUCCUCAGUGUGAGAAUGGGGUUCAUCUGAUUGACGUAAAUGUGGUAGACUUUGUUGGCCGCUCUCAUCUACAUCAACAUUAAUUAGAAAGGUCUCUCCUUCAACAACUGAAGGUCUCUCGAUGUCUCUGGCUGGCUGUUUGUCCGUCUCCUGCAUCUUAGGGGAAGUUGGGUUUUCCAAUCCUGGUUUAGCCAUUGCAGCUUUUGUGUCAGAAUCCACUUUCUCCGUCGUUAACUCCUCUGUAUGAGGUUGGGUUUUGUCGGCCACUUUUAGACUCUUACCCUUCUUGUUCUUCUUUCUUUGUCUACUUUGGUCGCUUUCUUUAGGCUGGCGGGAUGGAGCCAUUCCAACGCCUUCUUUUCCAAAGCUUCUGUCCUUCUCGUUUGAAGCCACCUGGCUCUCCAUGUCCUCCUUGAAGGCCUCACCUACUUUAACGCCUCCGAACGUCAUUUUGUCUUCCUUACACUCUUCAGGUGACCCACUUGGUCUCUUUACAUUACCAUCAUAACUCCCCCCCCCAUCAGCCUCGGCUAGCAGAGGUUGUGUCCUUGCAGUCUUGCCUCGCCUCUCCUUCCCCACCUCCUUGCGCAGUGCUUGCAGCUCCUCGGCAGCCUGCUUCUCACUCACACCUUUUUCAAACACCUUUUUAAGAAUACUCUCUCUGGCUUUCAGUAUCAGGGCGGCUUUCUCGUCGUUUGGUAGAGCAGAUUUUAGAGGGAAUUCUUGCUCCUCCCUUUCUGUUAGCGCCUGACUGCAUUCCUGUUGUUUUGGUCGCUGAGCCUCUUCGACUUUCUCCUUCUGCUCCUGUUCCAUCUCCUCUCUUUUAUCACCAAAUUCUGUGUCCUUCAAGGCAAUUUUUAUUACAUCUUUCUCUGGCUCAAUUACAUCUUUCUCUGUCAAUUCAAAGGAUGCUGGAACUGCUUCGUGUCCCUGUUUUACUAAAUUAUGUUGAGCCUCAUCUUCUCGGUCAUUCUCUGCCUCACUUUCUCUGAGAUGAACCUGGGAUUCCUGUGGUUUCUCCUGUGAUGUACUUACAUUGAUGAACUGCAGGCUGCCCUUCAAUAUUUGCAUCAGCCUGAUCAAUUUGCGAUGGUUUCAUCUCUGCAAAGUGCUUUUCUCUCUCUGGGCCUUUGUGUUUUCCGUUCUUUUUAUUCUUCCUUUUCUUCUUACUUUUGCUUUCUGUCUCCUUGGAUGGAGAAGUCAACAACUGGUCUGACUGCUCCGCGUCUUUGCUAGGCUUUGUCUCAAUCUUUACAGGCUCAUCUCCCUCCAUUCUAUUGCCCUUAUUGUCUUCAACAUCAUCACUCUGUGUUGCCAGGUCACUCUUUUCAUAAUCCUCUUCAAUGCCAGCUUUUCUUUCUCUGUCAUCACUCAACUCUGCCUCCACAAAACCUGCCUGGUUUCCAUCUUCAGAAUCAUACUGAACCACUGACUUACUCUCAUCACUCGCUCUACACUCCUUUUCCCCAACCUCAACAGGUUCCUCACCCAACUUUAAAGCUGCAGCUUCUAUUCUAACCUCUCCCUGUAAAUCUGUGUCUACAUCACCAACAUAUGUCUGAAUGGAUUCCCCAAGAACACCUCUGAAAAGGUUCCUUUUUCUUUCGUUUUCAGUCUCACUCACGGCCACUUGCACUCUCUCAUCGGGCUUUUGCUUAAGGGGAGGCUCUGACUUGCGGAUGUUUGUCUGUGGAACAAUCUGUUCAAUAGCUUCUUGAACUCUUUUCUCAACAUUAGUAACAAAUUCACACAAGAGGUCCAGGGAUUGUUCACGCUCAACUGCAGGCUUAUCCUCCACUGACACAAUUGUUUCCUCUUUUGGAGUCGGUAUUAUAGCUAUCAAUGUCUUUCCUUCACCCAAUGUAAUUUCUAAACCUUCCUUUGAAAGUGGAGUUCUUGUGAGUAUCUCAGAGUUUACGUCUGACCGGUUUGCUGGACUGUCCGGGCUCACACUGACAUUUUAACAGCCGGGCCGUAUGUGCCAAUCGCUGAGGCAACAGCGCCACCUUCACCCCCCUCAAAUUCCAAAGAAGCCAAUUUCUCCUGAAUCUCUGAAGCUACGUCCCUGGAGAUCAGCUUUUUUGCAACGGCAUCCUCGAGAUUAGAGACUCGUUGUCCAGUGGCGGGAUCAACUAAGCCUCCUUUCAACAACUGGUUGGUGGAUAUCACCCUGGCCAUGUUGUCUUCAACUAACCCUCUUUCACAGGCUUCGGGUAGCGGGAGCCUUUCUCCAGUACUGAUGUCAAUGAUCCCUCCACUGUCUGCCUGGCUUUGGAGCAGCCUCAAUGCUGGAACUGGGUCUACUUGCUUUGAUGCAAUUGCCUCGGGAAGGGUCAAGAGGUUUCUUGUCUGACCAUCUCGAACACCUCUGAAGGGUUUCACCUCUAAGAAGCGUUUGCCUGUUCCAAUAUCUAUCUUUCCCCUGUUUACAAGAUCAGAGUAAGGCACAAUGCGUGCGCUUUCAGGGUCAAGCACUCCUCUUACAGUUGAAGACGCCAUGGCGUCUCUGGCAAUAUUCUCAUCCAGAAGACGCCUAGCAACCGCCUCUGUUAAGGUCAGUUUACUGCCAGAGUCGGGGUCUAAAAUAGCUCCUGUCGAAGCCUGGAAAACAACAGCUUUUGGAUGAGAUGAAGAGCUGAUUUUUCCUUGGUAAACCCACUCUAGUUCUUCCAGCCCGGGCGCAAUGGAUCGAUCCACCAGUCCUCUAUCUACAGCAUCAGGAACAGACAGCCUCAUCCCUGAGGCGUGGUGUAUUAUACCACCCUCAGCCACUUGUCUAGCCAACACUUGAUAGGCCUCUUCAGAUCUAAUUAACCCUUUCUGAAUAGCUUCCUCCAGAGGAACUGGAGACUUAGACUCUGGGUCAAUAAACCCAUCCAUCUGUAGCUGUAAACUGGCUUUAGUGAGGGCUGUUGCUAAAUCAGUGUUCUUACCUUUGUAUGCCUUCUCUAGCGCCACCAAUUCUUCUCUUUGAUCCUCCUCAAUUAGUCCCAGGGUGGCUGCAAGUGUGACAGAGACUUUCUCAUCCCUACCUAGGUCAACAAUGCCCCCAGAAGCCACCUGGGCUUCCAGAAGUCGAGCAGCGGUGUCUGGGUCAAUCAACCCUGCCUGAGCAGCCUGUCUUACCCCGCAGAUCUGCUUUUUCUCUGCAUCUACAACCCCUGCAAGCAUUUUAUCUGCCUUUAGAACACUCCACAUUAGCUCUUCAUCAAGCCCAACAUCCUCCAUGCUAAGUGACUCCCCGCUCCUUGCAUCCAGGAAACCCCCAAACAGACCAGUCUGAGCCAUCAAUUUAACUGCGGUGUGGCCAGGAAUGACUCCUUGGGCCACUGCCUCAUCUGGGAGCAACUUUUCCCCUUCCUCGGUCAUCAGACCUCCUCGUUGGAGCUCUCGGACUAACUUUGCCAAUUCAGUAUCCUCCCCUUUCUUUUCCACUCCUGAAUCACAGAUAUCCGUGUGAAGGCUUGCAUGCUCGGAGUCAGUCUCCGUAUUAAGCAUUUGUUGUUUGGUUUGUUUGUUUGAUUUAACAUCUUCAGUUACAUUUGCUCCCAGUGCUUUGGACUUGGGAGUUUUUGUUUCUUCUGAUGUGAUUGUACUAAUAGCCCCCUCCUGGCCGCCAUCAGGCCUUGGUUUGAAUUUAGUUGCCACCACCUCAUUUGGCCCUUCAAGAUUUUUAGCUUUUUCUUUAACAUCUUUAGCCACAGUACUUUCAUUGAUAGCUUCAAAGGCUAAAUCCCUAUCUGUAGUUACUGAUGAUUGCACCACUUUCUUCUCACUUUCUCUGUCAUACCUUUCUCCUAGACUACCUGUACUAUUCCUCUGCUCUUUACUUGGCGUGAUGUCUGAACUUUCUUUUUCAACCAUAGUUUGUGUUUCACUAAUUGCUAUGUCUGCCAGACUAAACUCUCCCACCCUUCGAAGCCGUUCAUCUUUGGUUAAACUGCUUUCUGGCUCAAUUUGACUUUUAGAGGCUUUAGCAAUCCGUUCAGUAGCUUUGACCAACUCCACCAACUCAGAGUCGAGCAGCACUAAUCUUUUUCCAGAAUGAGCAUCCACAUAGCUGUGAGUCAUGAGGUGAAAGAGCAGCUUGUCUUUUGCUUGCUCUUCUGGGUCCAUCCCAUAUGUUGGUGUUGCAUCGCAAACAAGGCCUGCAGGAGACGAUGAAUGCAAUGGAGAGGAUGGAGGUGGAGAAGAGCUGGCUGAACCCCAGCUUAAGCGGUUUGGAGAUGGAGUCACUGACUGGUUGAUGCUGGAAAGAACAUCUGGGAUGUGAGUGCUCUUGAGAAAACUGACAACACUGGGCUCAAGGGCCUCUUCAGCAGCCUGGUUUAGGGGCAGCACCUGGAGGGUCUCCGGGUUAUACAAAGCCUCAAUGACAUGUCGCUGCCUCAGAGUGUUCUUUGAAAGCUCCCCUGAGAUCGAUCCCUGUUGAAGAGCCUCGGCAAAGGGCAGGAGUUCUCCAGAUUCAGGCCACAGUAACCCCAUGAACGCCCCGAGAGACUCAAGGACCAACAGAGCCAAACGAGGAGAGAGAAGAUCCCUGCGUAUACUCUCUUCCAAAUCCAGGCGUUCUCCACUGACGGGGUCCAGAAUUCCUCCAUCUUGCAGCUGUCGGGCUAACGUGGCACAGGCCAGAUCCUGGUCCAUAAGCCCAUGACGAACCGCCUCAUGGACGGUCAGUCGGUGGCCAGACCGUGGGUCAGCAAUACCACCAGCAAAGAGCUGAGCUUCCAGGAGUCGUACAGUCACUUUCCGAUCAAUCAGACCUUCCUGGAUCGCGCGGAAAAUGCCAACUUUUCUUCCAGACUGGAGGCAGACAGUCCCCCCAGGUUGCUGUUUGACAGGGAGGAGGAGGAGACCGGAGUCAUUGUCGAGGACGCAGCGCUCCAGUAGCCCAUGCAGGUUUAGUGUUUCUGCUGUGUUCGGAUCAAUCAGCUCUUUUUGUUGUUGUCUCGACUGGAGUUUGGUGAAGGCGCCGGGAGACAAAAGUCUCUUGUCAUCUGCUUGCUCCAAACUCAUAAUUCUUCCCUUUGAGCUCCUCAGGCCUCCAGUGUGCAUCUGGAGUUCUAAAAUGCGAAGUCCCACCUCCUCUCGGAUGACCCCCGACUCCAUUGCUGCAGUUACUGGCAACACGUUUUGCUGUUGGUCAUCUGUACACUUGGUAUUUUCCACCAAAAGCCAGGCUCUCUCUAGCUCAGAAAGGCACUGUCCAGUGUGUGCGUCAAUAAGGCCUUCAGCUAGACCUUGUUCCAGGGACAGACUGAGAGUGGAGUCAGGCUGGAGGAGACCACCCAUAAUGAGCUGGGCCUCCAGCAGCACAUGGCAGGUGUCCUGGUCAAUAAGACCACGUUGGGCUGCUUUAAACACUGGGAAUGUUUCCACUGUUCCCAGGUCAAUUACUCCAGCAAUGGCAGUUUGGUUCUACAAAAACAAAGAAAACAAAAUUUCAGAUGACAUUUUUUCAACAACCUAAUAGUGGUAUGACACUUCAAAUCAAAUCCCAUCAAAUAAUGAUACUAUUAUACUAUACCAUCAUACUAUGUAUACUAUUAUAGCAUUUCAUGCAGAAUCAGAUGGUAGAAUUAGAAAAAGAGGAAAACCCAAAACCAGUUUCCAUAAAAACAUAAAGGAUAAAAGCAUAAAAAACUCAUAAUUAAAUAUAACAACUUUCAACUUUUUUUCCUAUCAAAUACUUACUACUGCAGUUCUAAAACAAGCACUAAGCAUGCAAAAAGCAACUAGAAAGAAACAAAAUAGAGGAAAAGCCAAAAGAAAACAAAACAAAGACACACAAAAUCAGAGGAAGAGGUGGAUAGAAUAUCUAGUUGAGAGAAAAGAGAAAGCGAGCACACUUACCGUACGGGCUCGUCCCACUAAGGGACUUAUGGCUCGGCAGAGCGAGGCGCAACAGGUGAGAAGCUGGUUGUUAGCAUUCAGCAUGCCACUCUUAAUUGUGACUCCAUCACUGCACUGACACUAAAUGCUCCUGCUGACCUUACUUUAGGUCAGAAAAAUAACUGGAAGGUUUGCGUGGCGCUUCAGUUGCACGACUACCACGAUGAACUGCAGAUUUUUAGCGUGUUGACAUAAGAUUGUUAUACUCGUUAUCGUUGGCAAAGCACUAGCAGUAUUGUCUUGCGAGACGCGAUACGGUUCACACUGUGCAAACUGAGCAGUAACCUCAUCUGACUAUUUGGUUUGUUUACAAAUGUCCUGCUUUAUUUUCCGUUCCCCAUUCGGAUCCUUGGCCCAGAGUUCGGUUGUCACCUCUGGUUGCUGUUAGUGGUUUUCAAGCAAAAUGCUGGUUUAAAGUUUCACACAUUAAUGGUAUGCAUUAGAACAGACAACAACUGUCAUUCACACACUCUGGUGAUCUGGACCCAACAUGCUCAAAUGGUGAAGUGUUUAUGCAUAGCUGGCUUCUGGUGCACUUACACGUAUAACCCCUAAAAAUAACUUUUUUUUUUAAACGUCUAUACUUGAAUGAGUAUUUUUUUUUUAAGACACAUAAAAGUCCCCUUUGAAAACAUAGAACAUUCACAGAAGAAUCAGCCGUGAGGUGCAGCUGUCAAGACAAGAAUUAUCAUCACGGAUUGCUUUGAAAACACUAGAUAUCUCACACAUUUAGUACAUUUCUUUGAUGGACGUACCAUAUUGUAUGUGGCAGAAGAGCAAUGACAAAAUGAGAGCUGACAGCUCAUGAAGAAAUGGACUAUUGUACACAUACGGUAAACUUAUGUGUAUACAGAGUACAAACUAUCUAAACGUGACGUGUUUACUUUAUGUUGUUGCAUUCUUUUACAACUACAUAAAGAAACAUGAUACUAUUCUGUAGCUACAGAUGAUUAGGAUGGGAAGGUGAAUCUAUUCCGUAAAUGAUUUGUUUCUAACGAUGGCGGAGCGCUACAGAUUCCAGAUAACUGCUAGCAUGACUGGUGCAGCACCACUGAGGCCGUGUAUUAGCAGUUCAGCAGAUGCGUUUUCUGAUGAUGAUGAUGACAGCGAUGGUGAUGAUGAUGAAAACAACUAUGAAAUGAGUGCAGGCUUUUAGUGGGUGGAACACUCCAUGCUACGGCCCGGUUCAGACAGUGUCAUGCAGUGAAUUCUUCUGGUCCCAUAUCGCUUUCUUUUUUUACAGUACAAAAAAAUUUAGUUAUUUUUGGAUCAUCUGGAUACACGUCUGAACAGGGUCUGUGAUGUUUUGUUUGUUAAACACUUAUCAAUAGAGGUGAUGUGGGUCAAAAGUCUGUGAAUACACAUCAUGCUGUACAACGCGCUCACACACACACACACACACACACACACUCAGCUUGCAAGCGUUUUCGGCAAUGUCACAAAUACAUUCUGACAAGCUUACUAAACCUGAAACUAGAUCUUUGUCACACAUCGUCUCUACUCCCUUUUCCUUCUCUGCCCAACCCUCCCACCCGUGUACCUUUCUUUCCUCCUCUUUGGCCAGUUGCUGCUCCAGCUGCUGCAGCUGCUGGGCGGAGCUGUUGCACAGCUGUUUGUAGGUGGCCUUCAGCUCGUCCAGCUGUGCCUCAACAUGAGCACGCUCCUCUGAGGACAACCUGAGGAGGACACAGGGGGGUUGGGGCGGGGCGGGGGGGCUAAUGAAUUAAAUGUGCAAUGUACCCAAAAAGGAUUUUUUGUAUUAUCGACACGUAUGUUCCACAUGAGACUUCAAACACUUCAAAAAGUCCCUUUAGUUCUGAAUCUGCAGGACGAGCAGCUGGAUGAGAAUGUACCGUGUGCGAGGGCCCACGUGUGUUGCGGUGUGUAGUGAAUGUGUUGUUCGGGACCUUACUUGUUGGCCUGUUUUGACAGCAGGAAGACCUGAGCGCUCCUGAUGGCUUCAGCCACUUCGUCUUUCUUGGCUGCCAGCUGUUCACUGACGGCCUUUAGAAGAACACACGUGCAUGAGUCUCAGUCCAGCACAACCGCCAUGUUUCAUGUUUUAAUUAGACAGCAAAUUACAUUUACUUCCAGAGGAAGCAUUAUCCUUAAGAAACGUGUAUUUAAGGAAGCAGCGGACGAGCUGCACAGAAAACACAGCACAGCUUUUGAUGUGCUGAAAUGCUGCUUGUCUGUGUCAUGGUGGAUUUCUAAUACCUGUUGAGCGGCGAGCGAGGACUCUGCGUCUGGGCCCCCGGUCCGUCCCUGUAGGCCUUUGACCCAGCCCAGCAGGUCUGACACCUGCCCCACCCUGGCCUGCUUCUCCUCCUCCACCUCUUUCUGCACAGAUACAAAUAAUUCCAGAUGAAUCUCAAAGUCAAACUGCAGCGCAGCGAUUUAAUCCAAACACACUUUCCAAACAGGAGGGAGACGCGCAGCAAAACAAAGCCUCACCUCUUCUUCUUCUAGUCUUCUCAGUGCGUCGCUGAUGUACUUCACGUGUUGGGUUGUCAAGGUGACCAAGGCUGUGUAGCGUGUGCGCAGGUCCAUGAACUGCAGAGAGAAACACGAGAUGUAGAUCCUCUCAACGUAUAUAAAGGUUUGUUCGCAAUAUUUAUCACAACAGUUCACGGGACUCUCGUUCUCACCUCCUGAGUGAUGGAGUCAGAGGAAGAAUGUAUCCUCCUCCUCUUGACGGACGACUUGUGCGUAGAUUCCACGAAGGCUCUGUAGGUCAUCAGCUGCAGUUCAUAGUCCUAAAGAAUGGGCACAGGAGAGAGCAUGCAUUGGAUUUAAUACACCAAAGGGUAUUUUAAUGUAUUAAUAGAAUUCUGGUUUGUAAACUGCCUCAUCAGAUGUAUUUACGGGUCUUCUUGGUGUGCGAGAACAAUGCACACGAGAAAGAAACCAGAGUCCCUUACCUUUACUGAGGUGCAGUACAGCUUGGAGUGAGUCUGGCACUCGUCUAGUUUGGCCUGAUUCUGUUCAAUCUCAGCUACUAAUGCCUGAUGGGAAAUGGGAAAGAACACACAUGACUUAUUUAGGUUGCUCAGAUUGAAUAAGUCGUGUACCUAUUUUUCCAUCGUCCGGGACAGGGAGGCGUUCCGGGGUAACGGACCGUUUGCUGGGCCAGCUGUUCGGACAGCGCUUUGCUGUCCGUCUGUCCAGGCCGCGUGUUCUCCUGUCUUUCCGUGGUUUCUUCGAUCCAGCUGAUCAGAGCGGAAUGGCCGUGUCUGUACUGCUGCAGGGCCGAGCACAGCGCUUCUAGGUCGGUUCGUCUGGAAUGAAGCAGGGAAAGACGGACGUCAUUCAUUAUAAGUAUAGACCAAGUUCAGAACACGGCAGAUUUUUACUAUUUGGUUCAAUUACAACCUGGAAUAAAAAAAAAUAUUACUUGGAUUUUAUGUUAAAAGAAAUCUCCAGAGUGUCUUGGCGUUACAGAGCCCCGUAACAAUCAUCACGGCCCUCCCUCACUCGUGUACAUGCUUCUGCUCAUCUCUUCCCCUCGUCCCCCCGUGCUGCUCACCGUGUCUCCAUCUGUCUCUUCACUCCGCUCCACCUGUCGGCCAUCUGAUUGGCCCUCUCCUGGUAGCGCUCCAGCUCGGAGCUGCGGUCUGGGUGGAGCCUGCUGAGCUGGAAGCCCGCCUCUUUGGCCCGGUCCACUUCCGACUGCAGAGCCUGGAAGACGCCGUCGUGCUCGACCAGCUCGGCCUGCCACCUCUGGGGAGAGACGGGAGGGAGAGGAUCCAGCACAAGGGUGCAAUACUUUCACUGCAUGGAGGAGGCGUUGACUCGUCGUCGUGUCCCUUACCCCCAGUUGAUCUCUGAGGCUUUGAAUGGCCGCCGCGUCUGCAGGAACAGUGUCGUCCUCACUUAGCCUGCUCUCGUUCUUCCUGACCUGGCUCUCCGCUUCAUCCAGGCUACGCAUCAGGACGUCCACUGUUCUCAGCCUGAGGAGGUUAAAGGGCGGGAGUGACACAUUCACGUAUAUAUUUCUGCGUUGCUCAACAAACAGAAAGAGGAAAAAGCUUUUCUAGUUACUUUUCUAGGUAGACGGUGGAGAGGUUGUGCAGUUUGUCCGUCUUCUCCACAACCUGGUUGAGUUCCGACCGGAGGACGGGAACAGCGGAGGACGUCGGCUUCUCCUCGAAGAAACUGACGCAGCGGCGAGACACGUCGCCCAGACUAGAGCGCACGGCGUCCAGAUCCGACUGCAGCUCCUGGACAACAAGGGGAAAGGAGGGGCUGAGUAACAUCCCAGGAGAGGCCAAACCUUCUCAAGAAACCGCGGCCGGGGCCUUAAACUGACCUCCUGCUCUGCAAUCUGAGGAGUGUCGUCAACGCCGUCACCUAACAGCCGGCUGGGGGGCGGAGUCUGGAUCGCCCUAAUUAGUCUCUGCUCGGACUCAUCUAGAUGAAGGGAGAUGUUCUGUAGCUCCGACAGGUAGGAACGGGAGACCGACUCGUCCUUCUCCACUGGAGAAAGAGAGAGAGAGAGAGAGAGGAGUCAUCGGGGACCUGAGCAGUAUUUGCUUUUAUAUAUUUCCUUCCUAGUAAUGUACACAUUACUGUACAAUGUGUUCCUAGUAAUGUAAUGGAAUAAAAGUAUUGAGUGGCAUGAAAGGACACUUCAGUAAAGAACCCCUGAAUGUACCACUGGUCAUUUCAGAUUCACGUGUUCAGGAGGCGUGUGUGGACCCAUUGCAGAAGACAUAUUUGUCUCACCGGUCUCCAUGUUGAGCAGCAGGUCCUGGCAGUGCUGCUGGGCCUGCUGGACGUCCUGCUCCAGCUCUCGCCUCUCGCCCGCCGUGAACACGGCGCUCUCUUUGCUGUCGGACAGGAAGUCGGCCAGCUGGGAGUCCAGGUGAUCCAGGAUCUGCUGCCGCUCUGCGGGGGCCUGACUGCGGACCUGACGGGUGAGGCGCAAUGGGGAGACAGUGAGCGGGAGGACGGGAGCGGGACAGAGCGCAAAAGGAGUCUGAAAUGAGAGAUGCAGAGUCUCACCGUGUCCAGCGUCCAUCCGGAGACGGUCCUGAUAUCUUUGAGCAGGUAGUGCCAGGACACAACGCUCUUCAUGUUCACAUGCAGUUGGUGCCACAGAGACAUGACCUUCUGGUACAGCUGCUCGGCCCUGCACACGCACACACACACACAGGUCGCUCAACACUUCCUGAAACAUGCCUAUAGAAACUUAAUUCCACGCCGUACUACCAACUCUUGUGUUACCUGCUGGCCGUGUCGAUGGCCUCCUGGUUGGGGGGUGGGACGGUGAAGCACACCGAGGGGACCAUAGCCUCGUUCCCCGUCGUGCUGAUCACCUUCCACUUGGUCCUCUGACAGUUUUCCUCGAGCACACACUCCUCGCCGCGGGUUAUUGUGAUCUGAGAGGAGGCGGGGAAAGGGCGAUGGGGGGGGAGGGUGCAGGAUUGGUGCAGAAUCCAAAAGAGAGAGGGGUGGGAGGGGGUAGAUUGAACAACGAUGGAGGGGGGAGGGAGUGAUGAAACCGAUGGGAAAGUAAGGAAGGGGGGAUUAUGAUGGUUUGAAAAGAAAGAUGACGGCAACAGGAUGAUGGAGGAGGGAUCAGAUACAGAAGGAG
ensembl:lncRNA